rnacentral:misc_RNA from 1 species
AUUAUUAUUAUUAUUAUUAAUUUAGAGAAUUUUCUCAUCUUAAAAUUUACCAAUUAAAUAAUAGCCAAAAAUACAAGAACGUAUUGGUUCCAACUUCCAACUACGUAAGCGAUCCAUGAGGGGUGAGGAGCAUGCCAUAUCAACUCAUUAAAAAUGAAACACAUCAACUUUCUUAUACCCUCAUUGUCACCCUUUUUCAAUUUCUUUUUCUCUCUGUCAAUAAAAUUUGUUAAAAAAUUUAAUAUUAUAAAAUUUAUUUUAGAUGGCUAACCCAUCGAGAUUUUUAACAGUGAAAUUCGAAUUUAACUCUAUAAUUUAUACUUGUUUCAUCCAAGCCUUGUGAUCUUGGUGGGUUCACCUAACCAAGCAAAGGGCAGGUCACUUAGAAGCUAACUACCCUCCAUUUUAAGGAAACAACCCUCUACCUUAACGAAAUAACAAUAAUCAUAAUAACAAGUA